AACUUUACGCUAAUUAUGUAAAGUAUAUCCUGCUCAAUGACAUUAAAUAGCCGCAGAACUUUUCACUGUGCUAAGGUAGCAUAAUCACUUGUCUUUUAAUUAAAGAAUAGAAUGAACGGAAAAACGAAUUCUAAACUGUCUCAUAUUUUUUCAAUAAAAUUACAUAAAAGUAAAAAUCCUUUUAUACACAAAAUAAGACGACAAGACCCUAAGAACUUUACUAAAGUUUGGCUGGGGCGGCUUUUUAAAAAAAUCUUAUUCCAAACAACCUAAUCCUACUUUUAUCACCAGUUACCUUAGGGAUAACAGCAUAAUUUAAUUCUACAGCUCUUAUCUAAAAUUAAGAUUAUGACCUCGAUGUUGAAUUAAAAAUCUUUUAAAAGAAAAUUCUUAACAAGAAAGUCUGUUCGACUUUUAAACACUUACAUGAUUUGAGUUCAGACCGGUGAAAACCAGGUCGGUUUCUAUCUAUUUUCAUUACCUAUUAGUACGAAAGGACCAUAUGCAAUAUUAACAAU
rnacentral:rRNA from 1 species